UAGUCCACGCCCUAAACGAUGUACACUAGAUCGAGGAGGUUUUGACGCCAUCUCGGUCGAAGCAAAAGCGUUAAGUGUACCGCCUGGGGAGUACGGUCGCAAGACUAAAACUCAAAGGAAUUGACGGGGCUCACACAAGCGGUGGAGCAUGUGGCUUAAUUCGAAGCAACGCGAAGAACCUUAUCCUGGGCUUGACAUCCACGGAUUACUGAUCUGAAAGGUGAUGGACACUCUUUGAGUGGAACGUGGACAGGUGCUGCAUGGCUGUCGUCAGCUCGUGCUGUGAAGUGUCGGGUUAAGUCCCUUAACGAGCGAAACCCCUGCCGUUAGUUGCUAACAUUUAGUUGAGGACUCUAGCGGGACUGCCGGUGUCAAACCGGAGGAAGGUGGGGACGACGUCAAGUCAUCAUGGCCCUUAUGCCCAGGGGCUGCACACGUGCUACAAUGGUACGGACAGAACGAAGCAAUACCGCGAGGUGGAGCAAAUCGUAAAAACCGUG
rnacentral:rRNA from 1 species